AAACCUGGCGGCGUGCUUAACAUGCAAGUCGAACGAUGAUCCCAGCUUGCUGGGGGGAUUAGUGGCGAACGGGUGAGUAACACGUGAGUAACCUGCCCUUAACUCUGGGAUAAGCCUGGGAAACUGGGUCUAAUACCGGAUAUGACUCCUCAUCGCAUGGUGGGGGGUGGAAAGCUUUUUGGGGUUUUGGAUGGACUCGCGGCCUAUCAACUUGUUGGUGAAGUAAUGGCUUAACCAGGCGAACACCGGUAACCCGCCUGAAAGGGUGACCGGCCCCACUGGGACUGAAACACCGCCCAAACUCCUACCGGAGGCCACAUUGGGGAAUAUUGGACCAUGGGCGCCAGCCUGAUGCCACCACCCCCCGUGAGGGAAGACCGCCUUUUGGUUGUGAACCUAAUUCAAUUAGGAAAAAACCAAAGUUAACGUUCCUGGGGAAAAAGCCCCCGCCAAAUACCUGCCAGCCGCCCCGGUUAUACGUAUGGCCCAAGCCUUUUCCGGAAUUAUUGGGCCUUAAGAGCUCCUUAGCCGUUUGUCGCGUCCGCCGUGGAAGUUCCGGGCCCAACUCCGGAUCUUCGGUGGGUACCGGCAGACCAGAAUUAUGUAGGGGAGACUGGAAUUCCUGGUGUUACGGUGAAAUGCCCAUAUAUUAUGAGGAACACCGAUUGCCAAGGCGGUCUGUGGGCAUUAACUGGCGCUUAAGAACCGAAGCCUGGGGAGCAACAGGAUUAAUACCCGGGUAAUGCCUGCCGUAAACCUUUGGGCCCUAGUGUUGGGGACAUUUCCCGUUUUCCCCCCGUACUUACGCAUUAAUGCCCCCCCUGGGGA
rnacentral:rRNA from 1 species